UUCUAUGAAAAUUAUAGGGAAUUUCACUGGCUUGUAAAAUGUUGGCGAAACAAAUAUUUAAACGCACACUUAGAUUAUAUAUCGAUAAAAAAUACCACUGAUCAAACAAACGUAUAUUUUCUGAUUGCCGGCUUGAAACUUUAUUUCAUGAAAUCUUUUCGUUUAUACCGAAUCAACGAAACGAGCAUAAAAAUAGGGGCUGAAGGAACGGUUCGGUUGAAUGUGAAUACGACAAAGGAUGCCGAGGAAGACCUAUGCCCCAUACAACGUACACGGCCCAGUCUGCUCGUUAGUCGAUACUCGUGGUUACCGAUAGACUAACGAAACCUCGAAUAACUGAAUCAGACGAUUCGCUUCUUAUAUAAAAGUGUACUUGAGUCGUGAUAGCACCGUAUGCGACCGAUGUAUCACUGAUGAUACACUGAAAACCAGGUAUAGUACCCACUUGGUCGCACGAGAAAGAGGAUUGACACACAAAUUGAAAUAAACGAACCGACGACACCGAGAAACUGAAUGAUAAAAUGGUGAUGGGUGAAAGAAUGAGAGCACAAGAACGAGAGAGAGUGUGGAAGGGGGCACAAACAGUGAGAACAGUGCUACAGACAAUAGAGACAAUUAUUGCACACAGACGGAGGAGAUGAUGGAUCAAACGCGGUACCAUUUCGGCGCCCCUUUAUCUUCUUUCACUUAUCUUUUCUUCUCUUCUCUUUUCCUACCAUCCCUUUACCACUACCUCUACCUAUAACUACCCCUAGUGAGCGCUUUUCUAUCCCCCCCUCCCCCUCUUAUCGUAACAC